rnacentral:ribozyme from 1 species
UGCCCAGCAAUUUCUAUCCCUAGCUCCUCGUGGUACUGGCCGGGGUACGAAUAACAUUAGGGAAGA